GGUGAAGUUAAUCUUAAAAGCUAAGCCAUUGAUCCUGGUGUAAUGGUGCAGGCCUAUAAGCCCAAGGACUCAGGAGGCUGAGGCAGGAAGAUCAUAAGUUUGAGGCCAGCCUCAGCAACUUAGUGAGACCCUGUCUUAAGAAAGAAAGAAAACAUUUGAAAAUUCAUUUUGAAAAAUAAAAGAUCUAGAAUAGCCAAGCAAUUCUAAGUCAAAGAGAUAAAUGCCGGAGGCUUCACAAUAUGUGACUUCAAAUUACACUACAGAGCUGUAGUAAUAAAAACUG
rnacentral:lncRNA from 1 species